UACGUAGGGGGCAAGCGUUGUCCGGAAUCAUUGGGCGUAAAGCGCUCGCAGGUGGUUCGAUGCGUCGUGCGUGAAAGACCCCGGCUCAACUGGGGAGGGUCGUGCGAUACGGUCGAACUGGAGGCCAGUAGGGGGAUGCGGAAUUCCGGGUGUAGUGGUGGAAUGCGUAGAGAUCCGGAGGAACACCAGCGGCGAAGGCGGCAUCCUGGACUGGUCCUGACACUCAGGAGCGAAAGCGUGGGGAGCGAUCCGG
rnacentral:rRNA from 1 species